CCUACGGGGCGCUGCAGUGGGGAAUAUUGGACAAUGGGCGAAAGCCUGAUCCAGCCAUGCCGCGUGUGUGAAGAAGGCCUUCGGGUUGUAAAGCACUUUCAGUGGGGAAGAAAGCCUUGGGGCUAAUACCCUCGAGGAAGGACAUCACCCACAGAAGAAGCACCGGCUAACUCCGUGCCAGCAGCCGCGGUAAUACGGAGGGUGCGAGCGUUAAUCGGAAUUACUGGGCGUAAAGUGCGCGUAGGCGGUCUGAUAAGCCGGUUGUGAAAGCCCCGGGCUCAACCUGGGAACGGCAUCCGGAACUGUCAGGCUAGAGUGCAGGAGAGGAAGGUAGAAUUCCCGGUGUAGCGGUGAAAUGCGUAGAGAUCGGGAGGAAUACCAGUGGCGAAGGCGGCCUUCUGGACUGACACUGACGCUGAGGUGCGAAAGCGUGGGUAGCAAACAGGAUUAGAUACCCCAGUAGUC
rnacentral:rRNA from 1 species